rnacentral:lncRNA from 1 species
GUGUCCCCCUCGCAUACUCAGGGGUGAUGUCAGGGAUGGGUGAAUCAGGAAGGGGCAGUUGUCCAUGGUCUUGCUGUCAGCUUGUCUGCAGUUUGUGUGGGGCCUGAGGGCUCCUGGUGCAUCAGUGUUGGAAGAGACAUCUGUGCACCUUGCAGCCUGGCCUGGGGUGGGCCUUGAUGGGAGGGGCUCGGGGCCCUGGGCUGGGAGAGGGAGAGGGAGAGGGAGGCAGAGGUCUGAGGGCAGAGCAGGCCAGGGGUUCCAGGCCAUGGAGACUCAAGUGGAACUCAGCUGGCAGAGGAUGCCUCUCCGGGGGAGGCUUGGGCAUGUGGGAGGAGCCCCGAGGGGCGGCGGCUCUGUAGCUGUAGCGAGGGGUGAGGAAGAGGGUGUUUGGGUGGCCAGAGGAGCGGGCUCCUGGCGCUGCAUUGGCUGGGCGUGCCGAAGGUGGCUGGGGGCCGUGGGGAGCACCAGCCGCCCUGUCUGCUCCCUGGGGAACGGCAGACCCGUCUUCCAUGCUGAUCUCCCAGGUGGGGUCAGCACCUGUGAGCAGGAGCCAGCGGGCCUGGGCAGGGAACCAGAGCCCCUCUGCUGCUGUCAGGACGUGCUCAGGGACCACCACGACCACCACAUGGCCCAGCGUGAGCUGCAGGGCUGUCUGUGGGGCCAGCACCAGGCCCUCAGCUCCCAGGCGAAGCUGCAGCUCUGUUCCCGCUUCCAAGACCACCACGAUCAUCUGGGCGCUGGCACUCUGCGGGCCCUGGGGAGGAAAAGCCAGCAGUUAGGGCUUGUCGUGCAGUGGCUGGCAGGGCACAGGCCAGGGCACAGCCCCAACUGCAAACCCAGCCCCCAAUCCAGCCCUGCAUGGCCACCCAGAAACCUCACCGUCCUGACACCCUCAGCGAGCUCAACCAAUGGACUUUCCCUACACCUUGGAUCCCAACAAGUCACGUGGACCCCAAAACUUACCCUCGAGCUUCCACGGGGCACCGCUACAGCAUGGCAUGGACACGGCCGCCAUUCCUGGGCAGCUUCUGCACCUAGGGGAACACGGAGUGUGUUGAGGGGAGGCGGCUGUCCCGCAGGAGUCCCAGUGGAGGGGCAUAGUUGCUCCCAGCGCAGAGGUGGCUGCAGGCCUGGGCAUCCUAGAGAAAGUCCCUCCCCCGUUCCAGUCAGCCUUGGAAGGGGGAGCCUUUCCUAGUGGGGGCAGUCAGGUGAGAGCAUAGAAAAUGCCUUACCUGGCCUGGGACCCUGCUGCAGUCUCUGCCGUUUGGGGAGGUUGCCUUGUGUCCCGUGUGGCCUGCAGGAGAAUGGGACUCGGUCAGCUGAGACCAGCGAGACCUGUUACACAAAGCCCCUAACUCAUUGCAGCCCUGCAGCCCUAGCACAUCCCAGUCCCCCAGAUUCAACGCCCAAAGCUGGGGCUGCCCGAAUCCCUCUGUUCCCCUCAGGGUGGGGACUUCUGAUCUG